UGAAUGCAAGGCCACACAAGGUGGAU
rnacentral:piRNA from 1 species